GCCCCGGUGGCGGAAUUGGAAGACGCCGCUUCCUCAAAAGAAGCUUCCUUGCAGGUUCGAGUCCUGCUCGGGGCACCA
rnacentral:tRNA from 1 species